GCCCAUCUUGUGAGGGCGAGUCACCGUCUGCCGGAAAUAAAAUUGCAUACCGUUUUAUUAGGCAGGAGUCCGGUUUUUUACCCCAUAGCUCAGUUCUUAGUCCAUCGCUUUCACCCAAUAACCUAGUUCAUUUUAGAUUCCAUCAACUCUCAAUAGUCCUUACACCCUGGCGGCCGAAGGCAACACGUAGAGGCCCUUUUGACACUUUAAUGAAAUGUAAGGAGUACACCGAGCGGAGGCUGCCCUUGCCCGUGUCAUGGGACGCACGCAGAGGCAGCACCCGCCAGGGUGUAAGGACUAUUGAGAGUUGAUGGAAUCUAAAAUGAACUAGGUUAUUGGGUGAAAGCGAUGGACUAAGAACUGAGCUAUGGGGUAAAAAACCGGACGCCUGCCUAAUAAAACGGUAUGCAAUUUUAUUUCCGGCAGACGGUGACUCGCCCUCACAAGAUGGGCCCCCACAAAAAGCGACAUCUAGGAUGGCUCAAGCGGCUCAGGGGUGUCGAGAGGUGUGCGCCGCUUUCUACCCAGUGGCUGUUAACAGCCACUGUGCCAACUCGCGUCUUAUGCAUAUUUCACUUCCACCCCUGGAGCUUAUAGCUCUAACGACUCCACUCUGGCCGGCCGGCUAAGGCAAGCCAGAGGCAGAGU